rnacentral:rRNA from 1 species
CAGCGAGAGAACUGUUGUUAAGGAACUCGGCAAAAUGACCCCGUAACUUAGGGAUAAGGGGUGCCACCAUCAGGUGGCCGCAGAGAAUAGGCCCAAGCGACUGUUUACCAAAAACAUAGGGUUCUGCUAAGUCGCAAGACGAUGUAUAGGAGCUGACGCCUGCCCGGUGCUGGAAGGUUAAGGGGAUCUGUUAGAGCAAUCGAAGCAGUGAACUUAAGCCCCAGUAAACGGCGGCCGUAACUAUAACG